GAUGAAGAACGUAGCGAAAUGCGAUACGUAAUGUGAAUUGCAAAUUCAGUGAAUCAUCGAGUCUUUGAACGCACAUUGCGCCCCCUGGUAUUCCGGGGGGCAUGCCUGUCCGAGCGUCAUUGCUGCCCUCAAGCACGGCUUGUGUGUUGGGCCCCGUCCUCCGAUUCCGGGGGACGGGCCCGAAAGGCAGCGGCGGCACCGCGUCCGGUCCUCGAGCGUAUGGGGCUUUGUCACCCGCUCUGUAGGCCCGGCCGGCGCUUGCCGAUCAACCCAAAUUUUUAUCCAGGUUGACCUCGGAUCAGGUAGGGAUACCCGCUGAACUUAAGCAUAUCCAAUAAGCGGAGGA
rnacentral:misc_RNA from 1 species